AGUGGAAUUGUUGAGUUAUAUAGUAAAUCUAUGUUUAACUUUUUGAAGAACUGCCAGGCUAUUUUCCAAAGUGACUGAACCAUUUUACAUUCUCAUCAGCAGU
rnacentral:pre_miRNA from 1 species